UUUGGGGUCCCAGAGAGUAUUUUGGGGCACUGAGGUGCUGUUUGGGGGUCCCCAGGGGGAUUUUGGGGCAUGAAGGUGCUGUUUGGGGGUCCCCAGGGGUUUUUUGGGGUCCCAGAGAGUAUUUUGGGGCACUGAGGUGCUGUUUGGGGGUCCCCAGGGGUAUUUUGGGGCAUGAAGGUGCUGUUUUGGGGUCCCCAGGGGUUUUUUGGGGUCCCAGAGAGUAUUUUGGGGCACUGAGGUGCUGUUUGGGGGUCCCCAGGGGUAUUUUGGGGCAUGAAGGUGCUGUUUUGGGGUCCCCAGGGGUUUUUUGGGGUCCCAGAGAGUAUUUUGGGGCACUGAGGUGCUGUUUGGGGGUCCCCAGGGGUAUUUUGGGGCAUGAAGGUGCUGUUUUGGGGUCCCGGGGGGUAAUUUUGCCCCUUCCCGCCGCAGGUACUACACCUUCGACGAGGCCUUCGCCCGGGAGGUGCUGGGCAAGAAGCUCUCCAAGGGCACCAAGAAGGACCUGGACGACAUCAGCGCCAAGACGGGCGUCAGCCUCAAGAGCUGCCGCCGCCAGGUGGGACCGGCCCCGAAACGGGCCGAGACCACCCGCAACGGGCCGAAUCUGCCCAAAAUGGGACGAAUCCACCCCAAAAUGGGCCAGAUCCGCCCCAAAACGGGCCAAGACCACCCGGAAUGGGCCGGAUCUGCCCCGAAACGGGCUGAGACCACCCAGAAACGGGCUGAGACCACCUGGAACCGGCCAAAUCCGCCCUGGAACAGGCCGAGACCACCCCGGAACGGGCCAGAUCCACCCCAAAACAGGCCUAGACCGCCCAGAAUGGGCCAAAUCUGCCCCAAAAUGGGCCGGAUCUCUCCGGAACAGGCCAAGACCACCCAGAACGGGCAAGAGCUGCCCGGAACGGGCCAAAUCUGCCCCGGAACAGGCCAAAUCGGCUGGAUCCCCAAAACGGGCUGGAUCCGCCCCAAAACAGGCCAAGACCACCCAGAACGGGCUGAAUCCACCCGGAAUGGGCCCAAUCUGCCUGAAACAGGCUGAAUCUGCCCCAAAAUGGGCCGAGACCACCCGUAACCGGCCAAAUCCACCCUGGAACAGGCUGUGACCGCCCCGAAAUGGGCCAGUUCUGCCCCAAAACAGGCCAAGACCACCCGGAAUGGGCCGAAUCGGCCCAAAAUGGGCCGGAUCCGCCCCAAAACAGGCCAAGACCACCCAGAACGGGCUGAAUCCACCCGGAAUGGGCCCAAUGAGCCUGAAACAGGCUGAAUCUGCCCCAAAAUGGGCCGAGACCACCCGUAACCGGCCAAAUCCACCCUGGAACAGGCUGUGACCGCCCCGAAAUGGGCCAGUUCUGCCCCAAAACAGGCCAAGACCACCCAGAA
rnacentral:lncRNA from 1 species